rnacentral:rRNA from 1 species
CGGGAGCGGCGCAAAAUAAAAAGCAGUCGACGAUGAACCACUUCGGGUGGGCUUUAGUGGCGAACGGGUGAUUUACACGUGCUGAAUCUGCCCUGCACUCUGGGAAAGGACCUGGAAACGGGGUCUAAUACCGGAUACUGAUCGCCUUGACCAUCCUUGGUGAUCUGAAGCUCCGGCGGUGCAGGAAGAGCCCUCGGCCUAUCAGCUUGUUGGUGAGGUCAUGGCUCCCCAAGGCGACUACGGAUAGCCCGCCUGAGAGGGCGACCGGCCACACUGGGACUGAGACACGGGCCAGACUCCUACGGGAGGCAGCCGUGGGGAAUAUUGCACAAUGGGCGAAAGCCUGAUGCACCGACGCCGCGUGAGGGAUGACGGCCUUCGGGUUGUAAACCUCUUUCGACAGGGAAGAAACCAAAGUGACGGUACCUGCAGAAAAAGCGCCGGCUAACUACAUGCCAUCAGCCGCGGUAAUACGUAAGGCGCGAGCGUUGUCCGGAAUUAUUGCGCGUAAAGAGCUCAUACGCGGCUUGUCACGUCUGUUGUGAAAGCUCGGGGCUUAACCCCGGGUCUGCAGUCCAUACGGGCAGGCUAGA